GGUUAAGUUACAAAGGGCGCACGGUGAUGCCUUGGCACUAGGAGCCGAUGAAGGACGGAACUAAUACCGAUAUGUCGGGGAGCUAUAGUAAGUAAGCUUUUGAUCCGGAGAUUUCCGAAUGGGGGAACCCAGUACAUCAGUGUAUUGUUUGUCAGUGAAUACAUAGCUGGCCGGUGGCAGACGCGGGAACUGAAACAUCUCAGUACCCGCAGGAAGAAAAGAAAACCGAUUCCCAUAGCGGCGAGCGAAGCGGGAGAGAUUCCAAAACCGAGAAGCUUGCUCGGGGUUGUGGACUGACAUUGGAGUUACCAAAGUCCGGACGUGGUAGUCGAAGUCAGCUGGAAAGCUGCGCCACAGAAGGUGAAAGCCUGGUGUUGAAAACGUCGAACCUCCGUCCAGGAUCCUGAGUAAUGGCGGAACACGAAAAUCUGUCGGAAUCCGAGGACCAUCUCCCGGCUAAAUACUCCCUAGUGACCGAUAGUGAACCAGUACCGUGAGGGAAAGGUGAAAAGCACCCCGGAAGGGGAGUGAAACAGUUCCUGAAACCGUAAAAUACAAUUAGUCAAAGCCCGUUAAUGGGUAAUGGCGUGCCUUUUGUAGAAUGAACCGGCGAGUUACGUUUGCUUGCGAGGUUAAGAUGAAAAGUCGGAGCCGUAGCGAAAGCGAGUCUGAACAGGGCGAAUGAGUACAGAUGUAGACCCGAAACCAAGACCCUACCCAUGACCAGGUUGGAAGGUGUGGUGAAACACACUGGAGGACCGAACCCAUGUAAGGUUGAAAAAUGCUGGAUGAGUUGUGGGUAGCGGUGAAAUUCCAAACGAACUUGGGAGAUAGCUGUUCUUCCAAAUAGCUUUAGGUUAGCCUCGGAGGAUGGAUCAUGGAGGUAGAGCACUGUUUGAACUAGGGCCCAUCAAGGGUUACUGGAAUUCAGAUAAACUCUGGGAAUACCAUCGAUCUUACUCGGGAGUCAGACAGUGAGCGAUAAGGUCCAUUGUCGAAAGGGGAACAGCCCAGAUCACCAGUUAAGGUCCCUAAAUUAUGCUAAGUGGAAAAAGGAUGUGGCGUUGCACAGACAACUAGGAUGCUGGCUCAGAAGCAGCCACCAUUUAAAGAGUGCGUAAUACUCACUAGUCGAGGGCACUGCGCCGAAAAUAUACCGCUAAGCAUAACACCGAAACUGUGGUGCACCCGCGGUGCGCAGAGGAGAGCGUUCUAAGGGCGUUGAAGGUCGAUCGCAGGACGGCUGGAGUGCUUAGAAGUGAGAAUGCCGGCAUGAGUAGCGAAAGAUCAGUGAGAAUCUGAUCCACCGUAUGACUAAGGUUUCCUGAAAGCCUCGUCCUCCCAGGGUUAGUCGGAUCUGAGCGAAGGCCGAGGCGUAGUCGAGACAAGCAGGUUGAGAUUCCUGCACUAGUUUAUUUUGUUUAAACGAUGGAGGGACGCAGGAGGCUAAGGAAAGCGCACGGCUGGAAAUGUGCGCCCAAGCAGCAAGUCUGACAGCGAGUGAAAUGCUUGCAGUCUUAAGGACAAGCUGUGAUGGGGAGCGAAAUUAUAGCGAAGUUCCGAUGUCACACUGCCAAGAAAAAGCUUCUAGUGAGAAAUAAACUACCCGUACCGCAAACCGACACAGGUAGUCGAGGAGAGUAUCCUCAGGUGAGCGAGCGAACUCUCGUUAAGGAACUCGGCAAAAUGACCCCAGUAACUUCGGAAGAAGGGGUGCUGACCGCAAGGUCAGCCGCAGUGAAUAGGCCCAAACAACUGUUUAUCAAAACACAGGUCUCUGCUAAAUCGUAAGAUGAUGUAUAGGGGCUGACGCCUGCCCGGUGCUGGAAGGUUAAGAGGAUGAGUUAGCGCAAGCGAAGCCCAGAAUUGAAGCCCCAGUAAACGGCGGCCGUAACUAUAACGGUCCUAAGGUAGCGAAAUUCCUUGUCGGGUAAGUUCCGACCCGCACGAAAGGCGUAAUGAUUUGGGCACUGUCUCAACGAGAGACUCGGUGAAAUUAUAGUACCCGUGAAGAUGCGGGUUACCCGCGACAGGACGGAAAGACCCCAUGGAGCUUUACUGUAGCUUGAUAUUGAGUGUUUGUACCGCUUGUACAGGAUAGGUAGGAGCCGUAGAGAUCGGAACGCUAGUUUCGAUGGAGGCGUUGGUGGGAUACUACCCUAGCUGUAUGAACACUCUAACCCGCGCCACUAAUCGUGGCGGGAGACAGUGUCAGGUAGGCAGUUUGACUGGGGCGGUCGCCUCCUAAAAUGUAACGGAGGCGCCCAAAGGUUCCCCUCAGAAUGGUUGGAAAUCAUUCGCAGAGUGUAAAGGUAUAAGGGAGCUUGACUGCGAGACUGACAAGUCGAGCAGGGACGAAAGUCGGGCUUAGUGAUCCGGUGGUUCCGUAUGGAAGGGCCAUCGCUCAACGGAUAAAAGCUACCCUGGGGAUAACAGGCUUAUCUCCCCAAGAGUCCACAUCGACGGGGAGGUUUGGCACCUCGAUGUCGGCUCAUCGCAUCCUGGGGCUGUAGUCGGUCCCAAGGGUUGGGCUGUUCGCCCAUUAAAGCGGUACGCGAGCUGGGUUCAGAACGUCGUGAGACAGUUCGGUCCCUAUCCGUCGCGGGCGCAGGAAAUUUGAGAGGAGCUGUCCUUAGUACGAGAGGACCGGGAUGGACGUUCCGCUGGUGUACCAGUUGUGCCGCCAGGCGCAUCGCUGGGUAGCUAUGAACGGCAGGGAUAAACGCUGAAAGCAUCUAAGUGUGAAGCCCCUCGAGAUGAGAUUUCCCAUUCCUAUAUGGAAGUAAGACCCCUGAGAGAUGAUCAGGUAGAUAGGCUGGAAGUGGAAGUGCAGCGAUGCAUGGAGCGGACCAGUACUAAUCGGUCGAGGACUUAACCAA
rnacentral:rRNA from 1 species